rnacentral:rRNA from 1 species
CAGUCGCCGCGGUAAUGCGUAGGGUGCAAGCGUUAAUCGGAAUUACUGGGCGUAAAGCGUGCGCAGGCGGUUUGUUAAGACAGGUGUGAAAUCCCCGGGCUUAACCUGGGAACUGCGCUUGUGACUGCACAGCUAGAGUAUGGCAGAGGGGGGUGGAAUUUCCGGUGUAGCAGUGAAAUGCGUAGAGAUCGGAAGGAACAUCUGUGGCGAAGGCGACUAUCUGGGCCAACACUGACACUGAGGCACGAAAGCGUGGGGAGCAAACAGGAUUAGAUACCCCUGUAGUCCCUGUCUCUUAUAC